rnacentral:rRNA from 1 species
UACGAAGGGGGCUAGCGUUGCUCGGAAUUACUGGGCGUAAAGGGCGCGUAGGCGGACGACUUAGUCAGAGGUAAAAGCCCAGGGCUCAACCUUGGAACUGCCUUUGAUACUGGUCGUCUUGAGUACGGGAGAGGUGAGUGGAACUCCGAGUGUAGAGGUGAAAUUCGUAGAUAUUCGCAAGAACACCAGUGGCGAAGGCGGCUCACUGGCCCGGUACUGACGCUGAGGUGCGAAAGCGUGGGGAGCAAACAGG